AUUGAACGCUGGCGGCAGGCCUAACACAUGCAAGUCGAGCGGAUGAAGUGUGCUUGCUCCUGGAUUCAGCGGCGGACUGGUGUGUAAUGCCUAGGAAUCUGCCUUGUUGUGGUGUAUAACGUCCGGAAACGGGCGCUAAUACCGCAUCCUUCCUGAGUGUGAAAGUUGUGUUUCUUCGUACCUCUCGCUUUCUUAUUAUCCUAGGUCGGAUUUUCUAGUUGGUGUGGUAAAGGCCUACCAAGGCUACGAUCCGUAACUGGUCUGAGAGGAUGAUCAGUCAAACGGGAAGUGAGACACGGACCAGAGAACUACGGGAGGAAGCAGUGGGGAAUAGUGGACAAUGGGCGAAAGAAUGAUAAAGAAAGGCCGCGUGUGUGAAGAAGGUCUUAGGAUUGUAAAGCAAGUUAAGUUGGGAGGAAGGGAAGUAAGUUAAUAACUGGAUGUAUUGACGUUAACAAAAGAAAAAGCAACGGCUAAAUACGUG
rnacentral:rRNA from 1 species